AUCAGGCGCGGUUCGAUCUCGCCGUCGCACUCAACGCCGGCGGCAAGCGCACCGAGGCCGCGGGCCAUCUGAUGGAGAUCGUCAAGCGCGACCGCAAAUGGGACGACGACGGCGCGCGCAAGAAGCUGGUACAAUUCUUCGAAGCAUGGGGACCGAACGACGACGCGACCGUGGAAGGCCGCAAGCGUCUUUCAACGAUCCU
rnacentral:misc_RNA from 1 species